rnacentral:snRNA from 1 species
GUAUUUUCUUGUAAGUUACAGUGUAAUUUAUGAAAUUUACAUUGUAACUUUUGUAAGUUACAGUGUAAUUUUUGAAUCUUUGUAUGUAAGUUUUGAAAUUUAUAUUGGAUUUGGUUUUUUUUUAAGAUAUGGCAA